rfam:Gossypium raimondii Chr07_contig_760, whole genome shotgun sequence.
AAUCCAUGCAUCAAACACUUCCAAAUUAAGUCUUUAAAUCGUUCCCAAGUUUCAUAUAGCUGUUCAUCAUCUGAUUGAUGAAAAGAUAUGAUGUCAUUUCUAAGCUU